rnacentral:rRNA from 1 species
UUGCUACCUGACCUAGCGGCGGACGGGUGAGUAAUGCUUAGGAAUCUGCCUAUUAGUGGGGGACAACAUUCCGAAAGGAAUGCUAAUACCGCAUACGCCCUACGGGGGAAAGCAGGGGAUCUUCGGACCUUGCGCUAAUAGAUGAGCCUAAGUCAGAUUAGCUAGUUGGUGGGGUAAAGGCCUACCAAGGCGACGAUCUGUAGCGGGUCUGAGAGGAUGAUCCGCCACACUGGGACUGAGACACGGCCCAGACUCCUACGGGAGGCAGCAGUGGGGAAUAUUGGACAAUGGGCGAAAGCCUGAUCCAGCCAUGCCGCGUGUGUGAAGAAGGCCUUUUGGUUGUAAAGCACUUUAAGCGAGGAGGAGGCUACUUAGAUUAAUACUCUAGGAUAGUGGACGUUACUCGCAGAAUAAGCACCGGCUAACUCUGUGCCAGCAGCCGCGGUAAUACAGAGGGUGCGAGCGUUAAUCGGAUUUACUGCGCUUAAAGCGUGCGUAAGCGGCUUCUUAAGUCGGAUGUGAAAUCCCUGAGCUUAACUUAGGAAUUGCAUUCGAUACUGCCAAGCUAGAGUAUGAGAGAGGAUGGNAGAAUUCCNNGUGUAUCNNUGA